UCUGCCAAACAGCACUUCCAAUGAAAAAGUGGGUCAAAUUUAGAAUCUUCUAUCAAAAUCAGUUUUGUCCUAUAUUGUCUCUCUCUCUCUCUCUUUGUACACGAAAUCAAAAUUUUGACAAACCCUAGAGCCGUGUACUCCAAAAUCUGCGAACUCUCUGAAUUUCCAAGGGAACAAUACCGUGUCUCUCUUGUACAAGCUCAAAUUUCAUCCAAUUUGAGAGCAAAAUUUCACCCAAUUUCACGCCUAUCACUCUUUUCUACAAACAAAUCGUGUGUGGUUUGAAACCCCACACAAAUCGUAGCCGUGUACUCCAUAAUAGAGCAAAAACAACUUGGUGAAUUAUUCUAUCUUCUCAAUUAACAAUGAGUGAAACUGAAUCCGACUACUCCAGAGAGGAAGAACAGCCUGUAGAACGAGGCCAUCGCCCGAGUACAUCGAGGAGGGAAAAAUACCCGACGCCGAAUCCGCCUCCGAGGCAUGCUUGGUUACGUCCGUGCAUGCAAGGUUAUGCCGGACGAAUCAAUCACUAUGUAAAGGACACGACACUGAAGGAAGUGGAGACCUGUCUGACGCACUACCAGCGUUUAGAACAAUUUAAGAAAGGUCCGUUUGGGCAUUUACUUCAGUUGAAGAGGCAGGAUAGUGCGAAUGCCGCACUGCACCAUCUUCUUGCACGGGAGUUGUAUGACGAAGCAUUCGGUCCGUGGGAGAAGUAGUUCCACGUUGGUGGACACGACAUUCGAUUCGGCGCAGUGGAGUAUUGUCUGGUGACGGGGUUGUGUUUCGGGCCAUCCCCGCAGCGUUUUGAUCCUAAUGUGGAUCACCGUGUUGGGAAGCAGAGUCUAUGGCACGGAGUUUUGAAAGGCAAGAAGGUGGAAGUGAAGGAUCUGCGGAAGCGGUUCGUUAACCGCAGUCUGGGCAACAGUGCCCAGGAUUAUUUGAAGGCGGCCAAUAUUCUCGUGGCGUAUGAUCUCCUCUUCUGUCGGGAUUAUAAAUACGUGCACGAUUGGGUGUGGGCACUGGUAGAGGAAGAUCAGAAAUGGUCCGACUUCCCGUGGGGCUCUUACUCAUUCCAGAUUUUGUGUCAUGGGAUGAGUGUGUUGAAGAAGCAUCCCAACGAGAUUACCGGUAAUAGGUAGACGUACCACUUCUAUGGGCCCAUAUGGGCAUUACAGAUUUGGUCGUACGAGGCCAUUCCGAGGUUGGGCCGCGCGUGUGGGAUGCGUGACACGAGGUUGCAGAUGCCACGAUUGGUGAACUGGACGACUUGGAAGUCGGCUUCUGACUUCACCCACUUUUUUGAUGCUCAUGAGGCCGAGUGUCACCGGACACUCGAACCGGUCGAGGAGGAGAAUGAUUCAUGGUAUUUGCAGACCCUGAGGCAUCCAGAGCCUUUUUCUGUACGAUACCAUCCUGGAGGGAAAUAUGCCGGCUUGACAGAGCCAGUUGUACCGGAGCCGCCUCCUCCUGUUAGG